rnacentral:lncRNA from 1 species
AUGGAGUCUCACUCCGUUGGCAGCCUGGAGUGCGGUGGUGUGAUCUCGGCUCACUGCAUCCUCCACCUCCCAGGUUCGAGCGAUUCUCCUGCCUCAACCUCCCACGUAGCUGGGACUACAGAUUCCACUUCUGCAAGGCUCCACAGAAGUCUCCAACCUUCAAAUCUUCAGUCUCUGAAAGCACCGAUUCCUGAAAGGAUGGCCUCAAAUGACCAAGUAUACGAGCCGUCUAUAUCCCUGCUCCUGAAAAACAAGCUAACUGGACUCUCCAUCACCUGCCCCCAGCACAGAUGCACUACCAGCUACCCAGCUGAACUCCAUGACUGACUUGCCAUCCAAUCAUGCCCCUGACCCAGCCUACAUGAACAAGGGAAGGAACAUCAGCGAAUUAGGAAAAGAGGCAGAGGUGAGGAGACCACCUGUCCUGGGCCACAGAGCUAUGUAGAGUUCAGCAAUCUCUAGCCCCUUAGUAUUCCAGGGGCUCUAAACCACCUUCUGUAAGUCAGGAUGGAAGUAGAUGGUGCCACGAAGAUUUCUCUCUGCUGUAGCCACUCCUUCAGUGUCUCAAAAUGUUUUAACAUCUUUCAGUAAAAAUCUGUCAGUCCUUGAUAAAUUUUUAAAAAAAAGGCAGCAAAGUUUUUAGAGCUCCCUUGAACCUUCUAUUUUAAGGCGCCUUUGUAGAUAAUUCCCAACAUUCUGUGUGUCGGUCAUCUUUGGAAUUUAUCGAUCGAUCAUUGUUUCUCUUCAAACUUGGCCUUGCCCUGCCCAUUCCAUUCUUACCCGCUUUCAUUGGCUUCACUAGUCAAUUCCACACUCAUUCUAGACACUGGGUGCACGAGACUCACUCCCGUUUGUAUUACCAAAACUCAGGCCAAUAGGAUAUAAAAAGUAGGAAGAAUACUGGGAUUUAACAUGAGUACAAAUCUCAUUUCUUCCAAUUCCUAUGUCUUCUUGAAUCCUAAUCUUUCUGAGACUCAAGUUUUCUAUCUAAACGAUCCUUUGACCAGAAUGUUCAACAGACGUGACAAUACUAGAACGUGUUUUAAUUCAUUCUAAGAUUCCUUAAAAUUCUGUAAUUCUAUGUGCUUCUGAUUCUGGGAAUACAUAGCCAGCAGAAUUU